rnacentral:rRNA from 1 species
UACGUAGGUGGCAAGCGUUGUCCGGAUUUAUUGGGUUUAAAGGGUGCGUAGGCGGUCUAUUAAGUCCGUUGUGAAAUACGGCAGCUCAACUGUCGAGGUGCAAUUGAUACUGAUGGACUUGAGUACUGAUGAGGUAAGCGGAAUGGACGGUGUAGCGGUGAAAUGCUUAGAUAUCGUCCAGAACACCGAUAGCGAAGGCAGCUUACUAAGGAGUAACUGACGCUGAGGCACGAAAGUGUGGGGAUCAAACAGG